rnacentral:lncRNA from 1 species
UUUCUCAAACACAGGUUACUGCUUUCUGACAUUACAUCACAGUGGCAGAGUAUUGUAGGUGUUCUACUACAAAUUUGGAGGUGCCACGUCUGAAUCGUGCUCCAGACUUUUACCGAAAGAGGAUACAGUUCAGUUUAAAAUCUGUGGAGUCAACAGUGUCAAGGUGCUGUUAUGCCGGACUAGCUGAAUAGAAUCCCUUCUGUCUCAUAACCUCUUUGGCACCUGAGGUUCUGCACAUCAAAGCAGGAAAUUAAAUGGAAAAAUGGUGUGGCUCCUUAGCUGUUUUCAUUCUGCUCUUACUGCCUAUCUUCUCUAUAUUUGAGAGGUUGUACCUUUUGCACUGGGAGACUGGGAGGCAUGGACUCAGUAACCCUUCAGACCAGGGCACAUCUAAGAGUAGACUGUCUAUCAGAUUCUUUUUCCCCCCCCAAAAUGUGUCUCCCAAACACAAUCAGAUGACAAAUGUAGAAAAGACACAUUACAGGUAUGUUUAAUGGAUCAUUUCAGCUCUUAUUUCCUUCUCUUUCCCCCCUGCCUAAGUACCAUUACAACGCAAAAACCAAGGAGGAGCAAUACUUAUGUUCCAAGUUAUUGAAGGGAUUUGAUCCAAACUUACCUUAUGGACAGCAAGAAACCAUGAAGAGUCCAAUAGAAGAAGCAGUUCCUCAAAUCACCCUCUGGUAACUUUCACCACAAAUGGGGAGGACUACUGGGACCACUUACUAGAUGAUGUGAGUGAUUACAGGUCUCACAGAACCAAAGUUCUAGAUUCUCUCAAGUUUGAGCAGUUCAAGCCCAACAUCUCUCAUUUUUAGAAAACAACCAUAACCACUAGCCUUCAAUAGGAAUAACUGAGUGGGGAUGCCUCCAAGCCCCCUCUUUACAGCUAAGGCAAUGUAUAACUGAGAAUAAAAGUAUUACAGCACCUGGAGAAGCA